CAUGCCCUUGUUCAUUCUCUUUCAGAGUAGCACCUGCUGGUUUCCACCCUUGAAAUCAUCACACAUGCUCAGCUCACAGUUACUUGUCUGCUUCUCUGCUUUAUACCUAUCUCCCUGCAGACUCUAAGGCUGAAAGUAGAGAUGACUCAUUCUGUUCACCCACAUUUAUCAUCUCAGACUCUGCCUGGCAUAUAGUGAGUGCACAGUGAAUAUUUAAAUUUUUUUAACGUUUAUUCAUUUUUUGAGAGACAGAGCUUGAGUGGGGGAGGAGCAGAGAGAAAAGGGAGACACAGAAUCUGAAGUAGGCUCCAGGUUCUGAACUGAGAGCACACAGCCCGACGCGGGGCUCGAACUCACAAACCGUGAGAUCAUGACCUGAGCCAAAGUAGGGUGUUCAACCGACUGAGCCGCCCAGGCGCCCCAGUGCACAGUGAAUAUUUAAUGAAUAAAUGAACAGAUGCUUCCACAUUGCCAAGUGAAGAUCGCAUUGCUUUAUGGCUUAGUUUGUAUUUGUUUAUUUCCUUUGUCUUUAUUAUUAUUAUUUCUUUCACUGCACAUUCCUGUUCUUAGACGACCAUGCAUUUUUAUUCUUUGUGUCAGGCACAUAGAUAAGUGCUUCGAAGCAUAAUAACAAUUAGGAAAAAAAAACCCUCUUAAGUUCUCCCUGGUGCUAGUGAAGAAUACAUACAGUGAGCUAUCCUGCUGACUGUUUGCUCUGAGGCACCUAAAGCCUACAUUGCUCUGAUUGGUUUGUUUUCUGCUGGAGUAGCUGAGCUGGGGAGAGAAUCUCUGAGCCCAUGCUGCGCCUGCUUUCUGCCCGUCCUUCUUGGUGACAGGCUUUAGAAGUAGGAGGCGAGAAAUCACAUUCCUUCUGUCGGCAGGUCUAAGGGCAUCUGAAACACUGGAUUGGUGAUCCUCAACUUGCUGGGGAGGAUUUGAAAGAGCACCAAUGCCUGGGCCCCACACCAGAACAGUUACGGCGGGGUCUUUGCGGUGGGUCCAACAUGGAGAUGUUUUAAAAGCUUCCAGCUUCCUUUGAAUUUAUGGUAAAAGCCACAAAACCAGAGAUGAGAAGACAGCCAUCCAAGGUUUUAGCUACCAUACAUACAGCUGCAAUGAACGUUCAUGAACAAGUCUUUGUGUGGACAUAUGCUUUCAUUCAUCUGGAGUAAAUACCUAGGAGUGGAAUGGCCAGAAUGUUUGAUCUGCAAAUCCUGUCUCCAGGCUGAAUCCCACACAUUCAAUGGGCUGGAUGUUUGGUGCUGCAGAAGAACCAGAGCAACAAGAUCUACUGGAGUGACCACCGCUCAGAGAAUGGGCUUCUGGACAUUGCAAAACUUUUUGGAAGCCGGGCAGCCCUGGGGAGGAGAGGAUAUCUUAAGGGCAAACUCGUUGUUCUCCAAGCACCCUUCCUCUGAUGUCCAAAAACCACUGCCUGGCCCUCCUCAAAGGCAAGCUGGCUCCCAGACUCCCAUUGGACCUCAGGGAAGCCUUUGAGGACAGAGGGCCACAGCAAUAGCAGUUCAGUACAGACCAGCUGACCCCCAUGACCUAUGCCACUGAGGAGCCCCCUGUUCUUACCAGAAGGGAGAGUGGCUCCUCAGAGUCUGGGGGGAAUGAACAGCAAUACUGAGCCCUCCACUACAGGACUCUGGGCACCUAGGACCCAAGACUGAAAGAUGUGUAUGACUGAACACCAUCUCACAUAGACACUGGCCUCUUGCUUAUCUCCCUCAUUAGAAUAUAAGCUUCCUGAAAGCCAGACCUUGUCUCUCAACUCCAAGGUGGUUUCCUCAGCAUCUAGAACAUAGUAGACAGUAUUCAAUAAAUGUGCACCGAAGGACUGUGUGAAGGUUAUCAUAAUCGCUAUGUUUAUGGCAUGCGUUGACACUUUCAUUAAGUUACGGUACUUUUCUAAACAUUCAAGCAAGUGUUUUCAGCAACAGCAUGUAAGAACUCCAAUAGCCAGUGUGCCAGUAGGGAACAUCUACAAUGAUGCUGAGAAAAAUUUUCCUUGGUACAAAAACCGCAUGGACUCUUUACAUCUAAGAACUUUAAAACCGUGGUUCCAACUUGUUUAUUUGGUUAGCAGCGAGCUCUUUCUUCAGUGGAGAUCUGAGGCAGAGACCCGGUAUAUAAACAAGAUAAAAGUGGGGCUGCUCCAUUCAAACUGGAGUAAGCGGAGCAGGGGGGAGAUAGGAGUCUGAGCCUGGCUGCCUUCUGUUGUUUCCUCCAAGGAAUCCUAAAGCAGCUCCCCGCAAUGCCCAGGACAGUGGCUCUCAGCCUUGGCUGCAAAUUAGAAUCACCUGGGCAGCUGUAAAGCCCCAGACAUCCAAGUCACACCCCAUGAGCUGCCGAUGCCUGGAGGGGAAAAGGGCCCAUUAUGCUCUGGUUCCAUUGGUUGUUUACUGCUCUCUUGAGAGCUCACACGUGAUUUUGUUUGAUUUUGCCUUUCUUUUAGAAGAGAGUUGAGAGUGUAGAACUCAGAAUCAGAAAGAGUAAGGAUCAAAUCCUAGGUCUACCACUUUCUAGUUUUCUGCAUGUGGCCUAAUUACUUGAAUCCUUUAUCUACAAAAUCCAUGAGAGGAUAAAGUCUAUCAGCGCAGUGGUAGCACCUGUCUUAUCAGUAUAUCUAGUAUUGGCACACAGGAUAAUCAAUAAGCAUUAGUUCAAUUAAUGACUAAUUUAUUAAUUAUUCAUUGCCACAGAAUGGAUUCAAUCUAGGUUUUAAAGAUUCCCAACACUGUGCAUGUAGUAGGUGAUCAGAAAAUGGUAAGCACUGUUAUUACCUGGCCAUCUCCUGCCAGAUUCUCCUGCCCAGAACCUAGGUCUACUCUGAAUGCACCCUCUCCUUUCAGGGGGCAGUUCACGGGCAAACUGGGCUCUAGACUCUUGAUGCAGAGGCAAAGAAGGAAGAGGGCAUGGGAUGUGGAUGUGUUCCAAGCCUGCUCAGGGGGAAGAACAGACCCAGGGAAGGAACCAUCUCAACCACAGAAAUGGGAGCCCAUUCACUCAUUUGUUCAAUUCAUUCUUAAUUAUCUUACUAGGUUUAUCCUCUCUCUGUAGCCUUUUCUGAUUCCUCCUGGCAGAAUAAUUAGUCCCCUUACCUGCGUUUCAUGUCAUUCUAUGCAUAUCUUUGCUGUAACUCUUAUCACAUUAUGUUGCUGAUUCUCCUGCCUGUCCCCUAUAAUACUUUAUGAGCUUGUUUGGAGAAGAGAUUCUUAGUCACUUAUCUUUGUAUCUUCAGUCCCUAAAAUAGUACCUAGUACCUAGCACCUAAUAGGUCCUGAAUUAGUUUUCUAAGUUAGAUUAAAUCAUUGAAUAUGCUCUACAAGAAUGCUUAUUCUAGAGACUGGAGACACUACCACUUACCUACAUUUGGACUUAGUCAUUUGUUUCCCCAUCUUCGACAAUGUAUGUUGGAUUAAUCUGUGUAUGCUGAGUGUGAUUACAAGAGUAAAAAUCCUCUAGAAAUUGCCAUUUGUGUAGGGAAUGCAGUGGUACUGCUCAUAGUUGAAAAUGAAGUCAACGAAUAUUGUGUACAGAAAAGACUUAUUCUGUUUAAAUGGAAAGGUGGUAGCUACACCCAUCUCUCUUGCAGUGGAUGUUAAUGGGCACAUUUCUCCACACUGCUACUCUUUCUUCCUAUUAAGAAAGCUUGACUGCUGUAAGUCUAGGUGUCUCUCCAUUCCCAUAUUCACUUCAACCCUGAGCAGGAAGAGUGCUUAUUCAUAAACCAGAGAAGAAUAACUAGGCAGAAGUAGCUCAGCUCUUCCCAUCCUUCUUGAAUUUCCUGAGUGUAAAGAAUGUUCUUCUCUGUUGCUCCAUUCUGCCAGUUUGGCAGGGACCUCUCCUGUGCAGGGAGGCCUGCCGAGGCUUACUGUCACCUGUGACAGCAUGAGGAAGUCUGUCAUCAUCACCUGGGGUGUAGUUAGAGGCCCUGUUGGCUCUCAUAUGAAGCUGUAUCUCUCAACUUAAAUUCUGUCAGUAUUAGAUUGAUAUUUUGGCCACCAUUUUGUUUUGUAUCUUAUUUCUCAACUUGAUCAAAACCCAGGUAGGGAAGGUGAGUACUAUAUAUAUAUUUUUUUAAUUUUUGUAAUGUUUAUUUAUUUUUAAGAGGAACAGAGAGACA